GAUCACUACAGUUUCUUAGGACUCUGAGAAAUUGUCCCUUAGGCACAUUUCGAAGCCAAGGAUCAUAGUGACAGCUAGUAGUGUCGAUAUAACUGUUAACAUCCACUGGCUUGAAAUGGGUUCAGGUUUGUAGUGUGUCUUUUUCUACAUAUAUGUCAAGGUCCAGGAACUGUACAUUACUUUGACUAAUUUGACUGGUUAAAACAAUACCUCUAGGGUUAGUAUUUAAAAAUUCCAAAAAGGAAUUAAGAGAAUCCAGAUCACCUCUCCAAAUAAAAAAAACAUCAUUGAUGUAUC